rnacentral:rRNA from 1 species
AAACCAGCACCUCAAGUGGUCAGGGGGAUUAUUGGGCCUAAAGCAUCCGUAGCCUGCUCUGUAAGUUUCCGGUUAAAUUCAUUAGCUCAACUAAUGGCCUGCCGGAAAUACUGCAGAACUAGGAAGUGGGAGAGGUAGACGGUACUCGGUAGGAAGGGGUAAAAUCCUUUGAUCUAUUGAUGACCACCUGUGGCGAAGGCGGUCUACCAGAACACGUUCGACGGUGAGGGAUGAAAGCUGGGGGAGCAAACCGGAUUAGAUACCCGGGUAGUCC